GUCACUGGGCUUGACCAAGUUUAUCUACCUGUGUAUUCUUGAAUGCCUAUAGCAGUGUUGCGUGAACCAAAAUAUCAGGGCAAUCAUCCAUCAGGUUAUUGAAACUUUUCUAUGGUUCAAGGAGAAACCAGACAAGUGAAUGAAAAAGAAAUCCACAGAAGGUCGCUAAGUCUGCAAAAAUAACACCAAACACACACGUGAACUCCUUGCAAAGUUUAUCUUUUGAGGACAAAUCCACUGCAUGGUAACGGUGCUUGAGCUCACUGGAACAGCUUACAACCAACCAAGCAAAAGAAAUGAAGGCUGCAUAUCAAGGAGCUCAGCAAUAGCGAAAAAAAUGGUGUAAAAGAUAUGGAGUCCAGCAUAUCGUGAUUCAACAGAGAGACAGUUAUUAAAUCCUCUGCUUUCUGCUGCCUGCAGCGUUUUCAGCAUUUUGUAAGUAAAGCUAUUUGAAAAGCUGU